rnacentral:rRNA from 1 species
UAGGGAAUCUUCCGCAAUGGACGCAAGUCUGACGGAGCAACGCCGCGUGAGUGAAGAAGGAUUUCGGUUCGUAAAACUCUGUUGUUAGAGAAGAACAGCGCAUAGAGUAACUGUUAUGCGUGUGACGGUAUCUAACCAGAAAGCCACGGCUAACUACGUGCCAGCAGCCGCGGUAAUACGUAGGUGGCAAUCGUUGUCCGGAUUUAUUGGGCGUAAAGCGAGCGCAGGCGGUCAAUUAAGUCUGAUGUGAAAGCCCCCGGCUCAACCGGGGAGGGUCAUUGGAAACUGGUUGACUUGAGUGCAGAAGAGGAGAGUGGAAUUCCAUGUGUAGCGGUGAAAUGCGUAGAUAUAUGGAGGAACACCAGUGGCGAAGGCGACUCUCUGGUCUGUAACUGACGCUGAGGCUCGAAAGCGUGGGUAGCAAACAGG